rnacentral:rRNA from 1 species
CCCCUAGAUGUUCUGGGCCGCACGCGCGCUACACUGAACAGUUCAACAAGUCUUAACCUUGGCCGAUAGGUCUGGGUAAUCUUUGAACGCUGUUCGUGAUUGGGAUAGACCUUUGCAAUUAUGGGUCUUCAACGAGGAAUUCCUAGUAAACGCAAGUCAUCAGCUUGCAUCGAUUACGUCCCUGCCCUUUGUACACACCGCCCGUCGCACCUACCGAUUGAAUGGUCCGGUGAAAUCUCGGGACGGCGGCUUGGUCGCUUGCGUCCGACUGCUGAAACUUGAUUAAACCAUAUCAUUUAGAGGAAGGUGAAGUCGUAACA